UCUCACCACUACACCCUCCGUUGCCUCCCUCUUCCAUGCUAGUGCAUCGAGAUUUGCAAGCUCCUCAUGCUGUCACCCUUGCAGUGCCGUCCCUUCGCCGCUCGCUUUGAUCGGUUGCUCCCAUUUAGAAACUUGGAGCCUUCAAUGGUGAUGAUGGCCCUCUUCCACCCGUUCCUCCUCCUCGCAGUGGCACUUCUGACCUCCUUCUGACUGUCGAUGGUAGAGAUCUGGGUGACAGAGAUCCGAUCUGAUGGGCGGACCAUCAUCCCCUUCGCAAGUUCCUCCACGAUGUCGCCCCCGCAGCACCGUCCCCUCCGUCGCUCGCUCUGCUACUCGCUCCGAUUGGCUGCUUCUAUCUCGGGACUCGAAGCUUUCGGUGGUGAUGAUGGCCCUCCGCCACCUGUUCCUCCUCGCGGUGGCACUUCAAGGCCCUAGCCUCUCGGCAGUCAAUGAUGGAGAUCCGAUCCGAUGGACGAACCAUCAUCCCCUUCGCGAGUUCCUCCAUGUCGUUGCCCCUACAGCACGUGGUGAAGAUGAAAAAUGAGAACCCUCUCUGAUACACCACCGUGUUUUUUUUUUAAUCUUUUUAAUGGGAUUAUAGCCCAUUUAAGAGGAACUAUUGCAUCGGAGGAGACUUACAAACAAAUAAAUGGGUU
rnacentral:lncRNA from 1 species